GCAUAUCAAUAAGCGGAGGAAAAGAAACCAACAGGGAUUACCUCAGUAACGGCGAGUGAAGCGGUAACAGCUCAAAUUUGAAAUCUGGCCUUGGCCCGAGUUGUAAUUUGUAGAAGAUGCUUCGGGCGUGGCACCGGUCUAAGUUCCUUGGAACAGGACGUCAUAGAGGGUGAGGAUCCCGUAUGUGACUGGCCGCCUAACCCAUGUGAAGCUCUUUCGACGAGUCGAGUUGUUUGGGAAUGCAGCUCAAAAUGGGUGGUAUAUUUCAUCUAAAGCUAAAUAUUGGCCAGAGACCGAUAGCGCACAAGUAGAGUGAUCGAAAGAUGAAAAGCACUUUGGAAAGAGAGUUAAACAGUACGUGAAAUUGUUGAAAGGGAAGCGCUUGCAACCAGACUUGCGCGUAGUCGAUCAUCCGAUGUUCUCACCGGUGCACUCGACUGCGUUCAGGCCAGCAUCGGUUUAGGUGGUUGGAUAAAGGCCUUGGGAAUGUAGCUCCUCCGGGAGUGUUAUAGCCCUCGGUGCAAUGCAGCCUACCUGGACCGAGGACCGCGCUUCGGCUAGGAUGCUGGCGUAAUGGUUGUAAGCGACCCGUCUUGAAACACGGACCAAGGAGUCUAACAUCUAUGCGAGUGUUUGGGUGUCAAACCCAUACGCGUAAUUAACGUGAACGGAGGUGAGAACCCUUAAGGGUGCAUCAUCGACCGAUCCUGAUGUCUUCGGAUGGAUUUGAGUAAGAGCAUAGCUGUUGGGACCCGAAAGAUGGUGAACUAUGCCUGAAUAGGGUGAAGCCAGAGGAAACUCUGGUGGAGGCUCGCAGCGGUUCUGACGUGCAAAUCGAUCGUCAAAUUUGGGCAUAGGGGCGAAAGACUAAUCGA
rnacentral:rRNA from 1 species